UACAGAGGUCCCAAGCGUUGUUCGGAUUCACUGGGCGUAAAGGGCGCGUAGGCGGCCUGCUAAGUCGGGGGUGAAAUCCUGUGGCUUAACCACAGGGCUGCCUCCGAGACUGUCGGGCUCGAGCACAGUAGAGGCAGGUGGAAUUCCCGGUGUAGCGGUGGAAUGCGUAGAGAUCGGGAAGAACAUCGGUGGCGAAGGCGGCCUGCUGGGCUGUUGCUGACGCUGAGGCGCGACAGCGUGGGGAGCAAACAGG
rnacentral:rRNA from 1 species